UAUCCAACAUUCAGCACACAACAGCACACAACUGCAUCUGCAGCCCUUCUCCAAGAGCUCUCUCUCACGCCUGUGGGGUAGGGAAGCUGCCAGUGCCAGAAGGUUCUAUCCUCCAGAGCUUCCCAGAGCUAAUGAAGGUGAGGUUGCUGAAUAAACACACCAGCUUCCUCAGCCCUGGAGUGGAGUCAUUAAGAGAUCCUCUCUUCCCUCUUCCCCAUCUGCUCUGGGAGGCUGACAUUUUGGCUUCGAGUUGGGCUCAGUACAUGAGUACCCCUUGGAGGAGCUCGAUGGAAAUGAGAAGAGUGAGGUCAUGUAUUUAUUUCCUGGUUUCCUCCCUGUGAAUCACCUUGAGCUGGCAAGGUGCCUCCAUAGAACGCUUCUUUCAAGGACUGGUCUGUACAAAUCUUCUCACGCCCAACUGUCCAUGAUUGUUAUCCUUCUGUGACAUGACAGACCUAAGAUGGCAACUUUGGAAGCCACAUCUUAAAGAUGACAGAACCACAAGAAAUACUUAUAGAUGGUGGCUGUGUUUGGUGUGCAACACAAUGUCUUAGAAGUAGGUAUCAAAUAAAAAUUUGUUUACUGAUAAUGAGGAAAAUAAGGUAGGUGGAGAACAGUCAUACAAAGUUUUCUACUAUGUUCAUAAACUCAGUGGGAAGUACUAGUGGAAACUAUUUUGGUAUCAAAUAGGAUUAGUGGAGAAACUGUGUCUUGAUAAAAAUUUGUCUUUUUUCGUUUAGUUUUGAUGGCAUUUUAUUUAUUUAUUUUCUCUGUUCCAAGUCUGCUGAGUCAGAAUCCCAGAAAGAGCAUCUAAUCAAAUUACCAUGAUAAUGACAAAGCUAUCUAUGGAAGCAGAUCUGCUAUAGAUUAAUAGAAAUUAUAGUAAUAAUAACAUUUUGUAGGCUGCUUUGGGAAAAUGAAAGGAACACUCCUUACAUGGGUAAAGUGCCCUCAAUUGUUGAGUAGCUAGGUGGAGAUGCUGAGAGAGAGAGAGAGAGAGAUGGGGAAGGAGGAGGAUAGUAUUGCAUCAGUGAAUGUAUAGUUUUAGUUGUAAAUGCAGAUUUCCAUGUUAACUGCUAAUAAUAACAGCAUUCUCAUCCACAAAGACAACAAUAGUGACAAUACUUGUGUAACAUAUUAGAAUUAGGAAACUAAUUUCACAUUAGUUUAUUUAGUAAUGUAGUCCUUAUGCUAUUUUAUGGUCAUGGCUGAUAUCACUGGGUCCUGACUUCUUCCUUGUUAACAGAACUCUGAUUUUUCUCAGUUAGUGGGCGGUGACACCUUGUUCUCAGGGAAGCAUGACCUCCACCCCAGCUUCACAGGGUGAAUCACGAAUGAUCUAGUCCCAUGAUAGCAGUUCCAUUUUCCUGUUAUUGGUCUAAAG